rnacentral:rRNA from 1 species
AGCAGCCGCGGUAAUUCCAGCUCCAAUAGCGUAUAUUAAAGUUGUUGCAGUUAAAAAGCUCGUAGUUGAAUUUCGGGGUUAGUAGGUUGGUCAUGCCUCUGGUAUGUACUGGUCUCACUGAUUCCUCCUUCCUGAUGAGCCGUAAUGCCAUUAAUUUGGUGUUGCGGGGAAUUUGGACUGUUACUUUGAAAAAAUUGAGUGUUUAAAGCAAGCUAACGCUUGAAUACAUUAGCAUGGAAUAAUGAAAUAGGACGUUCGAUCCUAUUUUGUUGGUUUCUAGGAUUGACGUAAUGAUUAAUAGGGAUAGUUGGGGGCAUUAGUAUUCAAUUGUCAGAGGUGAAAUUCUUGGAUUUAUUGAAGACCAACUACUGCGAAAGCAUUUGCCAAGGAUGUUUUCAUUAAUCAAGAACGAAAGUUAGGGAUCGAAGACGAUCAGAUACCGUCGUAGUCUUAACCAUAAACUAUAGCCGACUAGGGAUCGGGUGAUUGGUUAAUUUUUUAAUGUACUACUAUUCCGGCGUCCGUUACGGGGUAAAA